GGACGAACGCUGGCGGCGUGCGUAACGCAUGCAAGUCGAGCGGAGCUUAUUGGAAGGGUAACUGGAAGAUAAGCUUAGCGGCGGACGGGUGAGUAACACGUGAGCAACCUGGCCUUAGCACAGGGAUAACAGGUCGAAAGGCUUGCUAAUACCUGAUAGGACUACGUUAACGCAUGUUAAGGUAGUGAAAGGGGGAACUCGGCUAAGGAUGGGCUCGCGGUCCAUCAGCUAGUUGGUAUGGUAAAGGCCUACCAAGGCGACGACGGGUAGCCGGCCUGAGAGGGUGAACGGCCACAGUGGGACUGAGACACGGCCCACACUCCUACGGGAGGCGGCAGCGGGGAAUCUUGCGCAAUGGGCGAAAGCCUGACGCAGCGACGCCGCGUUGGGGAAGAAGUCUUUCGGGAUGUAAACCCAUGUUGACAGGGAGAAGAAGGAGAUAGUACCUGUUGAGGAAGCCACGGCUAACUACGUGCCAGCAGCCGCGGUAAUACGUAGGUGGCGAGCGUUGUCCGGAAUUACUGGGUGUAAAGGGUGCGUAGGCGGCUAUUUAAGUUAGUUGUGAAACCCUCAGGCUCAACUUGAGGCAUGCAACUAAAACUGUGUAGCUUGAGUGCAGGAGAGGAUGACGGAAUUCCCGGAGUAGCGGUGAAAUGCGUAGAUAUCGGGAGGAACACCAGUGGCGAAGGCGGUCAUCUGGACUGUAACUGACGCUGAGGCACGAAAGCGUGGGGAGCAAACAGGAUUAGAUACCCUGGUAGUCCACGCUGUAAACGAUGGAUGCUAGGUGUAGGUGAGAAGGACUCAUCUGUGCCGGAGUUAACACAAUAAGCAUCCCACCUGGGGAGUACGGCCGCAAAGGUUGAAACUCAAAAGGAAUUGACGGGGGGCCCCGCACAAGCGGUGGAGCAUGUGGUCUAAUUCGAAGCAACGCGAAGAACCCUUACCAGGGCUUGACAUCCUGCGGAUCUGGUGGAAACACUGGAGUGCCUGCUUUUAAGUAGGAACGCAGAGACAGGUGGUGCAUGGUUGUCGUCAGCUCGUGUCGUGAGAUGUUGGGUUAAGUCCCGCAAACGAGCGCAAACCCCUAUGAUUAGUUGCCCAGCGGGUAG
rnacentral:rRNA from 1 species